UACGAAGGGUGCAAACGUUGCUCGGAAUCAUUGGGCGUAAAGCGCACGUAGGCGGCGCAGUAAGUCGGACGUGAAAUCCCUCGGCUCAACCGAGGAAGUGCAUCCGAAACUACUGUGCUCGAGUAUGGAAGAGGGUCGCGGAAUUCUCGGUGUAGAGGUGAAAUUCGUAGAUAUCGGGAGGAACACCAGUGGCGAAGGCGGCGACCUGGGCCAAUACUGACGCUGAGGUGCGAAAGCGUGGGGAGCAAACAGG
rnacentral:rRNA from 1 species